rnacentral:rRNA from 1 species
AACGAACGCUGGCGGCAUGCCUAACACAUGCAAGUCGAACGAGACCUUCGGGUCUAGUGGCGCACGGGUGCGUAACGCGUGGGAACCUGCCCUUAGGUUCGGAAUAACUCCUCGAAAGGGGUGCUAAUACCGGAUGAUGUCUUCGGACCAAAGAUUUAUUGCCUAAGGAUGGGCCCGCGUUGGAUUAGCUUGUUGGUGGG